GCAAAAUCCACUGCAAUCGGAGAUAAUCAAACAGAAUAGGCAAUCCCAAAAACCAGCACCAGACUCAGGGGCAACCAGGAAAUACACCUACCGCUAAAUCGGGCUCUAUAAAUCGAUAUUUCAAAGACAACUCUGACCACAUGGCGGAGGCCGCGGCCGCGACCUCGAAUAUGGGGGAGACGGAAUCUCUCCCUGAAUUACAGCCGCAAAACCCAC